GGUCGGUUAGCUCAGUUGGUUAGAGCGUGGUACUAAUACAUCACCUGGUGUAUCUGGUAAUGCCAAGGCCGGGAGUUCAAGCCUCCCACUGAUCA
rnacentral:tRNA from 1 species